rnacentral:rRNA from 1 species
UACGUAGGGGGCAAGCGUUGUCCGGAUUUAUUGGGCGGAAAGAGCUCGUAGGCGGUUUGUUGCGUCGGCUGUGAAAUCCCGAGGCUCAACCUCGGGUCUGCAGUCGAUACGAGCAAACUAGAGUGUUGCAGGGGAGACUGGAAUUCCUGGUGUAGCGGUGAAAUGCGCAGAUAUCAGGAGGAACACCGGUGGCGAAGGCGGGUCUCUGGGCAACAACUGACGCUGAGGAGCGAAAUCGUGGGGAGCGAACAGG